GAGUUUGAUCCUGGCUCAGGACGCUUUGCUGGCGGCGUGCUUAACACAUGCAAGUCGAACGGUAAGGCCCCUUCGGGGGUACACGAGUGGCGAACGGGUGAGUAACACGUGAGCAACCUGCCCUUGACACUGGAAUAACAGUUGGAAACAGCUGCUAAUGCCGGAUAUGACCUUCAGUGGCAUCACCUGAAGGUGGAAAGUGAUUCAGCGGUCAAGGAUGGGCUCGCGGCCUAUCAGCUUGUUGGUGAGGUAACGGCUCACCAAGGCUCCGAUCCGUAGCUGGUCUGAGAGGACGAUCAGCCACACUGGGACUGAGACACGGCUCAGACUCCUACGGGAGGCAGCAGUGGGGAAUCUUGCGCAAUGGGCGAAAGCCUGACGCAGCGACGCCGCGUGAGGGAAGAAGGCCUUCGGGUUGUAAACCUCUUUCAGGAGGGACGAAGCCACUCGGGUUAAUAGCCCAGAGGGUGACGGUACCUCCAGAAGAAGCCCCGGCUAACUACGUGCCAGCAGCCGCGGUAA
rnacentral:rRNA from 1 species